rnacentral:rRNA from 1 species
ACGGGUGAGUAAUACAUCGGAACGUGCCCAGUAGUGGGGGAUAGCCCGGCGAAAGCCGGAUUAAUACCGCAUACGACCUACGGGUGAAAGCGGGGGAUCGCAAGACCUCGCGCUAUUGGAGCGGCCGAUGUCAGAUUAGCUAGUUGGUGGGGUAAAAGCCUACCAAGGCGACGAUCUGUAGCUGGUCUGAGAGGACGACCAGCCACACUGGGACUGAGACACGGCCCAGACUCCUACGGGAGGCAGCAGUGGGGAAUUUUGGACAAUGGGCGCAAGCCUGAUCCAGCCAUGCCGCGUGCGGGAAGAAGGCCUUCGGGUUGUAAACCGCUUUUGUCAGGGAAGAAACGGCCUGAUCUAAUAAAUCGGGCUAAUGACGGUACCUGAAGAAUAAGCACCGGCUAACUACGUGCCAGCAGCCGCGGUAAUACGUAGGGUGCAAGCGUUAAUCGGAAUUACUGGGCGUAGAGCGUGCGCAGGCGGCUUUGCAAGACAGAUGUGAAAUCCCCGGGCUUAACCUGGGAACUGCAUUUGUGACUGCAUGGCUAGAGUGCGGCAGAGGGGGAUGGAAUUCCGCGUGUAGCA